CACAGGCUGAUCCUUUGUCCCAGGCUACUAAAUUAACAAGAUAAAAUUAACAAGAUAAAACCCAGUGGACAGAGGGCUACCUACUUAUCUCCUUCUGGCCAGAGACCAGAGGUGUAUCACAAGUCAGCCACAAAGUAAAUACACGUACUCAGACAAGGAAGUCACCUCAUCUUCUGACUAAGAUGUGUGAUAAUAGAACAUUUCAGUUCCUGCUUUCCUGCAGCUGCAAACUCCUCACACUGGAACUGAGAUCCAGGACUGCA
rnacentral:lncRNA from 1 species